UACGAAGGGUGCAAGCGUUACUCGGAAUUACUGGGCGUAAAGCGUGCGUAGGCGGUUUUUUAAGUCCGUUGUGAAAGCCCUGGGCUCAACCUGGGAAUGGCAGUGGAUACUGGAAAGCUAGAGUGCGGUAGGGGGUAGUGGAAUUCCCGGUGUAGUGGUGGAAUGCGUAGAUAUCGGGAGGAACACCAGUGGCGAAGGCGGUUGCCUGGAGCUUUGCUGACGCUGAGGCGCGAAAGCGUGGGGAGCGAUCCGG
rnacentral:rRNA from 1 species